CAGAAAUACAUGUAACUGAUCUUGAAAACACAAUAACUGUUCUGCAUAAAAACUUACAGAAAUGAAUGAGGUUUUGUUUUCCUGUGGAGCUCACUACAACCAGCAGUAGAUCAGUACCACCUCUUUGCUGGGUAAGUUACCCUGUAAGCCUCCGACAUUCUGGAAGGAAGUAUUCUAUGAAAAUAUUAGCAAAACAACUGAUUAAAUAAGGAAAAGUUGCUAAAUUGGCAACCUAUAAUAAAGAUAAUUAGAUAAACUAAAGUGCAAUGACUAUUAUCAAGCAAUUAAGUAGCUACUUCUAUAGCUGUUGCUUUGCUUGGCUGCUCUAUUACAAGUGAUAUCAUGGAGUCACCACUGUGCUUUGAAUUAUAGGUUAUUACUGAGUGCUUGGGUGGAAGAAAUGCUGAGACCAGGACAGAUGCCAAUGAGGCAGGGCUGGGCAAUUACCAUCACUGUUCAAAGCAGCACAUCGGGCAGUAAUGAGUACCUGUCAUGCUCUCCCAGAAGCAAAAAUACAGCUACUUGACAAAGAAGCUUACAGCAUUCUGUACUAUUAUAAAGAACAGAAGACCAUCUCCCAUCUCCAUGGGAUUGUCAGCACAGUAAGACAUUUGGAUUGUUUUUCUCUGCUUUUGAGUGAAGAAGCAGAACAAGAGGAGUCGCACAUACACAAGCUCUGGACUUUGAUACCAGAACUCAGAGCAGAGACCACCCCAGUGUGAUCCCGUACAUCUACAGCUGGUGCUGGCCUGCUUCUGCCCUCUCUCCUGCUGCAGCUGGGAACCUGAAGCACACCCACAAGGCAGAGACCUGCUUGGGAAAACGGAUGUGCCAAAGGACUGAUACAGGAGUGAUACAGGGAACACCUCGAUGUUAGCAGUAAAGCACACCGGAUCAACUCCCCGUUAACUUAAGAGCUCCAUCACGAGCAAACCUGGAAAACAAAAGCUUGGGCAACACGAAUGCCUGUAACAUUUGUCAAUACUUCCCCCUUCUGCCCCCUCUGGCUUCAGCCAGCUGUUUUAAAUAGCGAGGAGAAAUUAAAAUUCUUAAAGCCUUGCAGGAUGUUUGGAUUUCUGCCCUUUAUUUCCACUUCUAUGCGCCAUGGCUUGAAAAUUUGCCUGUGAUUUAUAAAUUCCCUUUUCAGAUUUCUUUUUAAAAGCAACGACUAGGGAUCCCGACAACACAAAUGAUCUGGUGUUGGCUUUGCCUCUUGCCAAGCUGCUGCUCAGAGCUCUGCCUGCUUGCCUGCCUGUAUUGAUCGUCUUGGGCUAGGCGUUUUCCUCUGCCCGAUGACAUUAUGCAAUUACAUGAUGAUAAACAUCAUUCGGGAAUACAAAUGCGAGAGGUAAACAGU